CAGCAAAAAACAACAAAGGACCCAUCAUAAACCAUCAAAAAAACAGCAUAGACCAGCAUCAAAACAUACCUAACCAACAUAUGCUGUUUUUUUCAAGUGAUAUCAAAUGCAUUUGUAGCAUUUGUACAAUUUUCUUACAUAUAGGCCUGCAAUGCACUUCACAUUUCAAAUCCAGUCUCUAACUGGGACCAACAAUGGACCAACUAAGGCCUUUGUCCAAUCAAAUGUUCUUUAGACUGAGAAGAUCCCGCCCACUAACACCACCUGCCACUCAUUAGCAAUAGCAAGUAGCAAGUAAUGUUUUGGUGACUGUUAUGUUUCACCAGUGCUUCUAGUUUGGAAAAUACAUCAGUAUAGAAAAGAAAACCGUUCUUCAAACCAUCCGUUCAUCAUGUGGUCCUGAGCUGUUUGUGAAAUAUUCAUAAAAAGCUCGACAAACGCUGGGCACUAUUUGCUUUCAUUAAAUGGAAAAGGGCAGAAGGAACAUUGCUCUGAAUUUCUCCUGUUGUGUUUUAUGGACCGAAGUCACACGGGUGUGAAACAACAAGGCUGUAAUUUGCCCUCACCUGGCCCCUGCUCUGCUCUCUGUCCCCAGCCAUAAUUACUCUAAUGGAGCAGGACGGAGCCAGGGGUCAGAGCUCCGGCCCCGGGCCCCCACCAGACAACGGGCCCUUCAGCCAGCCUGAGACAGGAGUGGACAUACCUAAUGGUCAUGCUGACAGUCCUGUCUGUGAAUGCAGUUACCUGUGUGUGUCUCUGCCAUUGUGGUCUGCGACUAAGGGAUUAUGUGCAUGUUGUC